UCAGGACGAACGCUGGCGGCGUGCUUAACACAUGCAAGUCGAGCGGAAAGGCCCUUUCGGGGGUACUCGAGCGGCGAACGGGUGAGUAACACGUGAGUAAUCUGCCCUGUGCUCUGGGAUAGCCACCGGAAACGGUGAUUAAUACCGGAUAUAACCACUGUCCGCAUGGGUUGGUGGUGGAAAGUUUUUUCGGCAUAGGAUGUGCUCGCGGCCUAUCAGCUUGUUGGUGAGGUAAUGGCUCACCAAGGCUUUGACGGGUAGCCGGCCUGAGAGGGUGACCGGUCACACUGGGACUGAGACACGGCCCAGACUCCUACGGGAGGCAGCAGUGGGGAAUAUUGGACAAUGGGCGGAAGCCUGAUCCAGCAACGCCGCGUGAGGGAUGACGGCCUUCGGGUUGUAAACCUCUUUCAGUACCGACGAAGCGCAAGUGACGGUAGUACAGAGA
rnacentral:rRNA from 1 species